rnacentral:rRNA from 1 species
UGUCUAUUAAUUGUAGACCUGUAUGAAUGGCAAAAUGNGGGUCUAACUGUCUCUUAUAACUAAUCAAUUAAACUGAUCUCCCAGUACAAAAGCUAGGAUGACAACAUAAGACCAGAAGACCCUGUGAAGCUUUAACUAAACUAUCAAACCACAUGGUAGCUAGUUUCGGUUGGGGCGACCUUGGAAACAAACAGAACUUCCAAACAAACAGAACCAAUAAACACUUAAACACACUAAGGCCAACAAGCCAACUAACGACCCAGCACUGCUGAUUAAUGAAACAAGUUACUCCAGGGAUAACAGCGCCAUCUUCUUCAAGAGCCCAUAUCAAAAAGAAGGUUUACGACCUCGAUGUUGGAUCAGGACAUCCUAAUGGUGCAGACGCUAUUAAGGGUUCGUUUGUUCAACGAUUAACAGU